AGCGAACGCUGGCGGCAGGCCUAACACAUGCAAGUCGAACGGAUCCUUCGGGAUUAGUGGCGGACGGGUGAGUAACACGUGGGAACGUGCCCUUUGGUUCGGAACAACUCAGGGAAACUUGAGCUAAUACCGGAUGUGCCCUUCGGGGGAAAGAUUUAUCGCCAUUGGAGCGGCCCGCGUCUGAUUCGCGAGUUGGUGAGGUAACGGCCCACCAAGGCGACGUUCAGUAGCUGGCCGGAGAGGAGGAUCAGCCACACUGGGACUGAGACACGGCCCAGACUCCUACGGGAGGCAGCAGUGGGGAAUCUUGCGCAAUGGGCGAAAGCCUGACGCAGCCAUGCCGCGUGAAUGAUGAAGGUCUUAGGAUUGUAAAAUUCUUUCAGCGGGGACGAUAAUGACGGUACCCGCAGAAGAAGCACCGGCUAACUUCGUG
rnacentral:rRNA from 1 species